AUUGAACGCUGGCGGCAGGCCUAAUACAUGCAAGUCGAACGGUAACAUAAGAGAAGCUUGCUUUCUUGAUGACGAGUGGCGGACGGGUGAGUAAGAUUUGGGAAACUACCUGAUAGAGGGGGACAACAGUUGGAAACGACUGCUAAUACCGCAUACAGCCCUUAGGGGUGAAAGAAGAAAUUCGCUAUCAGAUGUGCCCAAACGGGNUUAGCUAGUAGGUGAGGUAAAGGCUCACCUAGGCGACGAUCUCUAGCUGGUCUGAGAGGAUGAUCAGCCACAUUGGGACUGAGACACGGCCCAGACUCCUACGGGAGGCAGCAGUAGGGAAUAUUGCACAAUGGAGGAAACUCUGAUGCAGCCAUGCCGCGUGUGUGAAGAAGGCCCUUCGGGUUGUAAAGGCACUUUCGGAGGGGAGGAA
rnacentral:rRNA from 1 species